rnacentral:rRNA from 1 species
AGAGUUUGAUCCUGGCUCAGAAUCAACGCUGGCGGCGUGCCUAACACAUGCAAGUCGAGCGCGAAAGGGGGGCAACUCCCAAGUAGAGCGGCGAACGGGUGAGUAACGCGUGGGUAAUCUACCUUCGAGUGGGGAAUAACAGCGGGAAACUGCUGCUAAUACCGCAUAACAUCCUCGGGCUCUCGGGUCUGGGGAUCAAA